GACGAACGCUGGCUGCGUGCUUAACACAUGCAAGUCGAACGGAAAGGCCCUGCUUUUGUGGGGUGCUCGAGUGGCGAACGGGUGAGUAACACGUGAGUAACCUGCCCUUGACUUUGGGAUAACUUCAGGGGACUGGGGCUAAUACCGGAUAGGAGCUCCUGCUGCAUGGUGGGGGUUGGAAAGUUUCGGCGGUUGGGGAUGGACUCGCGGCUUAUCAGCUUGUUGGUGGGGUAGUGGCUUACCAAGGCUUUGACGGGUAGCCGGCCUGAGAGGGUGACCGGCCACAUUGGGACUGAGAUACGGCCCAGACUCCUACGGGAGGCAGCAGUGGGGAAUAUUGCACAAUGGGCGGAAGCCUGAUGCGGCAACGCCGCGUGCGGGAUGACGGCCUUCGGGUUGUAAACCGCUUUCGCCUGUGACGAAGCGUGAGUGACGGUAAUGGGUAAAGAAGCACCGGCUAACUACGUGCCAGCAGCCGCGGUGAUACCUAGGGUGCGAGCGUUGUCCGGAUUUAUUGGGCGUAAAGGGCUCGUAGGUGGUUGAUCGCGUCGGAAGUGUAAUCUUGGGGCUUAACCCUGAGCGUGCUUUCGAUACGGGUUGACUUGAGGAAGGUAGGGGAGAAUGGAAUUCCUGGUGGAGCGGUGGAAUGCGCAGAUAUCAGGAGGAACACCAGUGGCGAAGGCGGUUCUCUGGGCCUUUCCUGACGCUGAGGAGCGAAAGCGUGGGGAGCGAACAGGCUUAGAUACCCUGGUAGUCCACGCUGUAAACGGUGGGUACUAGGUGUGGGGUCCAUUCCACGGGUUCCGUGCCGUAGCUAACGCUUUAAGUACCCCGCCUGGGGAGUACGGCCGCAAGGCUAAAACUCAAAGGAAUUGACGGGGCCCCGCACAAGCGGCGGAGCAUGCGGAUUAAUUCGAUGCAACGCGUAGAACCUUACCUGGGUUUGACAUGGAUCGGGAGUGCUCAGAGAUGGGUGUGCCUCUUUUGGGGUCGGUUCACAGGUGGUGCAUGGCUGUCGUCAGCUCGUGUCGUGAGAUGUUGGGUUAAGUCCCGCAACGAGCGCAACCCUUGUUCACUGUUGCCAGCACGUUAUGGUGGGGACUCAGUGGAGACCGCCGGGGUCAACUCGGAGGAAGGUGGGGAUGACGUCAAGUCAUCAUGCCCCUUAUGUCCAGGGCUUCACGCAUGCUACAAUGGCUGGUACAGAGAGUGGCGAGCCUGUGAGGGUGAGCGAAUCUCGGAAAGCCGGUCUCAGUUCGGAUUGGGGUCUGCAACUCGACCUCAUGAAGUCGGAGUCGCUAGUAAUCGCAGAUCAGCAACGCUGCGGUGAAUACGUUCCCGGGGCU
rnacentral:rRNA from 1 species